rnacentral:lncRNA from 1 species
GAAGAUGCUUCAUAAUAUUUCAAUACUUUUGAAUGUUUAAGACUUGUUUUAUAACCUAACAUAUGAUUUAAUCUUGAGAAUAAUCCAUGUGCUGAAGAAAAGAAUGUGUAUUCUGCAACCAUUAGAGGGUAUGUUCUGUAAAUAUCUAUUAGGUCCAUUUGGACUAUAGUUAUUAAAUCUGAUGUUUCUUUGUUGAUUUUCCAUCUGGAAGAUCUGUCCAUUUAUGAAAGUGGGUUGUUGAAGUUUCCAACUAUUAUUGUAUUGGAAUCUAUGUCUCUUUUUGGCUGUUCAGUGUUUGGUGCAUAUAUACUUAAAAUUGUUAUAUCUCCUUCCUGAAUUGACUCUUUUAUCACUAUAUAAUGUUCACAUAAAAUUACCUAAAAAUUAACAAAGAAGUGAGAGAUCUCUAUAAUGAAAACUAUAAAACACUGAUAAAGAAAAUUGAAGAGGACACCAAAAAAUAGAAAAAUAUUCCAUGUUUAUGGAUUGGAAAAAUUAGUAUUUUUAAAAUCUUCAUACUCCCUAAAGCAAUCUACAGAUUCAAUGCAAUGUCUAUGAAAAUACCAAUGGCAUUAUUUACAUAAAUAGAAAAACAAUCCUAAAACUUACAUAGAAUCACACAAGACCCAGAAGAGCCAAAGCUAUCCUAAGCAAAAAAGAAGAAAACUGGAGUAAUCACAUUACCUGAC